CGGGACGGGUGAGUAACACGUGGAUAACCUACCUAUAAGACUGGGAUAACUUCGGGAAACCGGAGCUAAUACCGGAUAAUAUAUUGAACCGCAUGGUUCAAUAGUGAAAGACGGUUUUGCUGUCACUUAUAGAUGGAUCCGCGCUGCAUUAGCUAGUUGGUAAGGUAACGGCUUACCAAGGCAACGAUGCGUAGCCGACCUGAGAGGGUGAUCGGCCACACUGGAACUGAGACACGGUCCAGACUCCUACGGGAGGCAGCAGGC
rnacentral:rRNA from 1 species